GGCAUCACCAACAAACCACACCUCGAGUCAACGCUCUCCUUUGCAACAUCUUCGUUCUGCUCGCGUCAGCGGUCUCCUUUGCCACAUCUUCAUUGUGCUUGCGUCAGUGCUUGCACCUCAUUUUCAGUUUCCCGUUGCUUUUCUCAUUCUCGCGAAGCAUCGCCAUCAAACCAUACCUCGAGUUCUCUCUCCUGCAACAGCCACAGUUCUUCACAUAUCCACCUUUUCUCCUCACAUUUCUACCUUAUUUCAGCUAUUUCGGCCUUAGAAACACCAUCUUCACCGAUGAGUUCUUCGAGCUAUGGCCUCCGCUAGGGUUUCCCUCAUCUUUCAUCUUUUUCUUUGAUUUUAACCAAUUAAAUCCUCUUUUGCUCCGAUUAAACACUUUCCACCGUUUAAUCGGUUAACCUAGUGUUUUAAGGUUCUUUCACCGUUCGAUUUAGGGUUUCCUUGCUUCAUUCACAGUUUUGGUUCAUUUGCUCUUGGAUUCGUAUCAUUCCGCUGCGUUUCACUCUUUGAGGGAGCUUCGAAGGAGUCCAUAGCGUGUUCGUUUGGGGUUCUUCUCGGAGAUUAUUCCAUCACCUCCCUUCGCAAGCGUGAGCACCGAUGUAGGUUGAGGCCAAAAAAGCUCACUGGAAAGAAUCACAUUUGGACAUCCAUUGGUGGUUACGAGAUAAAAGGGUUGGCUUUCUCAACAAUAGACCCGAACUGCAUCUAUAUUCAAGGGGUUGAUUAUGAGGCACCUAGUUGUUUUCUUUGCAUCUUGUGUAGAAGCUGAUUCCAAGGAUUAAAUAGGUUGAGCUUUCCUUCUCAUCCAUUGGAGGCUAUAAUAUACUUGUGAAAAAAUGUUUGUGGUAUACUUUCUUAUUCUUUUGUAUGGAAUUUACUAUGUCCAAUAGCCCAAUAGAUCAUGAUCAUUUAGUCCAGAAACUAAU